AUGGGAUUAGCACAGCUUGGUAGUGCGUCUGCUUUGGGAGCAGAAGGUCACAGGUUCGAAUCCUGUAUCCCGUACCA
rnacentral:tRNA from 1 species